CCUACGGGAGGCAGCAGUGGGGAAUAUUGCGCAAUGGGCGAAAGCCUGACGCAGCGACGCCGCGUGAGGGAUGAAGGUCUUCGGAUCGUAAACCUCUGUCAGCAGGGAAGAACGGUCACUGUGCUAAUCAGCAGUGAAUUGACGGUACCUGCAAAGGAAGCACCGGCUAACUCCGUGCCAGCAGCCGCGGUAAUACGGAGGGUGCGAGCGUUAAUCGGAAUUACUGGGCGUAAAGCGCUCGUAGGCGGUAUGUCAAGUCAAGGGUGAAAUCCCCGCGCUCAACGUGGGAACUGCAUUUGAAACUGGCAAACUGGAGUGUGUGAGAGGAGAGUGGAAUUCCAGGUGUAGGAGUGAAAUGCGUAGAUAUCUGGAGGAACAUCAGUGGCGAAGGCGACUAUCUGGCACAUAACUGACGCUGAGGAGCGAAAGCGUGGGUAGCAAACAGGAUUAGAUACCCGGGUAGUC
rnacentral:rRNA from 1 species